GCUGGGCAUGGUGACGCACGCCUGUAAUCCCAGCUACUCGGGAGGCUGAGGCAGGGGAAUCGCUUGAACCCAGGAGUUGGAGGUUGCAGUGAGCCGAGAUCACACCACUGCACUCCAGCCUGGUUGACAGAGCAAGACUCCGUCUCAA
rnacentral:SRP_RNA from 1 species